rnacentral:rRNA from 1 species
AUUGAACGCUGGCGGCAUGCCUUACACAUGCAAGUCGAACGGUAACAGGUUAAGCUGACGAGUGGCGAACGGGUGAGUAAUACAUCGGAACGUGCCCAGACGUGGGGGAUAGCUCGGCGAAAGCCGGAUUAAUACCGCAUAAGCUCUGAGGAGGAAAGCGGGGGACCGUAAGGCCUCGCGCGUUUGGAGCGGCCGAUGGCAGAUUAGGUAGUUGGUGGGGUAAAGGCUUACCAAGCCUACGAUCUGUAGCUGGUCUGAGAGGACGACCAGCCGCACUGGGACGGAGCCACGUCCCAGACACCUACGGGAGGCAGCAGUGGGAAAUUUUGGACAAUGGGCGCAAGCCUGAUCCAGCAAUGACGCGUGCAGGAUGAAGGCUUUCGGGUUGUAAACUGCUUUUGUACGGAAGGAAAAGGCGCCUACUAAUACUGGGUGUUGAUGACGGUACCGUAAGAAUAAGCACCGGCUAACUACGUGCCAGCAGCCGCCGUAA